CCUACGGGUGGCAGCAGUGAGGAAUAUUGGUCAAUGGGAGGUAUCCUGAACCAGCCAUGCCGCGUGCAGGAUGACUGCCCUACGAGUUGUAAACUUCUUUUGUAUCGGGGUAAAAUGCAGUAUGUGUACUGCUUUGCAUGUACGUUAUGAAUAAGGAUCGGCUAACUCCGUGCCAGCAGCCGCGGUAAUACGGAGGAUCCGAGCGUUAUCCGGAUUUAUUGGGUUUAAAGGGAGCGUAGGAGGGUUGUUAAGUCAGUUGUGAAAGUUUGCGGCUCAACCGUAAAAUUGCAGUUGAUACUGGCAGUCUUGAGUACAGUAGAGGUAGGCGGAAUUCGUGGUGUAGCGGUGAAAUGCUUAGAUAUCACGAAGAACCCCGAUUGCGAAGGCAGCUUGCUGAACUGUAACUGACGUUGAUGCUCGAAAGUGUGGGUAUCAAACAGGAUUAGAUACCCGUGUAGUC
rnacentral:rRNA from 1 species